rnacentral:tRNA from 1 species
GAGCCCAUAGCUUAGCCAGGUAGAGCGCCGCUCUUAUAAGGCGGAGGUCCUGAGUUCAAAUCUCAGUGGGCUCA